UCUUCGUUCACUCUUUCCCAGUUCCUUCUACAAUGAGUCGCCUAGCCACGCUGUGUCAGUUUUCAGUAAUUCUGAACUUCUCAAGACUCCAUGUGGAACCGUCUCCCCACUGGGAUUCCCAUUAGGGCUUAUAACAAAUUCUGAGCCCAGAGUUUUCAGUGAGCUACUUACUUCAGGAUCACUUCUGACUCAGGUUAAAAAUACAGAUUCUCAGGCCCCACUUCACAUCUAUUAUAACAGAGUAUCUGAGGGUAGGGCCUGGGCAUCAGCAGUGUAACUAGUGCCCCAGGGUGGGGGCAGGACUGAGGGAUUCUGUGCUGCAUCUAUGCCUUGGCUGAUCCUCACACAAGGCCUGGGAAGGGAGCCAAGCAAAACCAAUGAGGCUGAUGGAUGGAGGGGUCUGGAGGACACGCACUUUGACACAAAUCAAGCUGAGCUAUUCCACUGUCCCAACACUCAUCCAUCUUAGUUGAGAGAACAGUCUCUUGCUCGGAAGUGAGGAAGUUCCCGUUGUGGCCCAGCAGAAACAAACCAGACUAGUAUCCAUGAAUAUGCAGGUUCAAUCCCUGGCCUUGCUCAGUGGGGCAGGGAUCGGGCGUUGCUGUGAGCUGCGGUAUAGGCCAUCAGCUACAGCUCCGAUUUGAGCCCUAGCCUGGAAAUCUCCAUAUGCCCCAGAUGUGGCCCUAAAAAAGCAAAAACAAAACAAAACAAACAAAACAAACCAAAAAAACCCCAAAAUCCACUGUGCUUUAAGGGGUUACCUUGUGGCACAGUGGGUAAGGAUCUGGUGGUGUUGCUGCAGCAGCUUGUACCACUGCUAUAGCACAGAUUCAGUCCCUAGCCUGGAACUUCUACAUGCUGAGGACAUAGCUAAAAAAAAAUAAAAUAAAAUAAAAGUGAGAUACUGUUCUAUGCUGUUAUGUCUCUCCUCAAGACCCUACAGUGUAAUCUAUAUUGCCUUUGCUUUUUUAGAAACAACAGUUUUUGGGUUUGGGUUUUUGUUUGUUUGUUUGUUUGUUCUGUCUUUUUAGGGCUACACCUGAAGCAUAUGGAGGUUCCCAGGCUAGGGGUCGAAUUGGAGCUAUAGCUGCUGGCCUGCCCCACAGCCAUAGCAAUGCCAGAUUUGAGCUGCAUCUUCGACCUAUAUAUACCACAGCUCACAGCAACUUCAAGUCAUUAACCCACGAGCGAGGCCAGGGAUCAAACUUGCAUCCUCAUGAUUACUAGUGAGAUUCGUUUCUGCUGAGCCAUGAUGAGAACUCCUAGAAAUAACAGUUUUUAAUUGAAAUAUAGUUGAUUUACAAUAUUGAGUUAGUUUCAGGUAUACAGCAAAAUGAUUCAGUUAUAUAUAUAAGUAUGUAUAUAUAAUUUUUUCAGAUUAUCUGCUGUUUCUCUGUGCUAUAUAGUAAAUCCUUGUUGUGCAUCUAUUUUAUGUAUAGUAGUUUAUAUAUCUGCUAAUCUCAUACUCCUAAGUUAUCCUCCCUCCCUCUCUCCCUCCCUCCCUCAUUUCCCCUUUGGUAACCAUAAGUUUUUUUUCUAUGUCUGUGAGUCUGUUCCUGUUUUAUAUAUAGAUUCACUUGUAUUUUUAAAUUUUUUGACUUCCUUUUGGCUGCACCCACAGCACACGGAAGUUCCUGGGCCAGGGAUCAAACCCGGGUCACGGCAGCCACCCAAGCCUCAGCAGUGACAAUGCCAGAUCCUUAACCCCCUGAGCCACCAGAGAACUCUCUGUAUUAUUUUUUAGAUUCCACAUAUAAGUGAUAUCAUAUUUGUUCUUCUCUUUCUGACUUUCUGAUACUCAUCUAUGUUGCUGCAAAUGGGAAUGUUUCAUUCUUUUUUAUGGCUGAAUAAUAUUCCGUUUUGUGUGUGUGUGUAUACCUCAUCUUCUUAAAUCUUUUUUGUUUUGUUUUUUGUCUUUUUGGGGCCGCACCCAUGGCAUAUGGAAGUUCCCAGGCUAGGGGUCCAAUCAGAGCUGUAGCCACUGGCCUACAUCACAGCCACAGCCACAGCCACACCAGAUCUGAGCCAUGUCUGCGACCUAUACCACAUCUCAUGGCAACACCAAAUCCUUAACCCAGUGAGUGAGGUCAGGGAUCGAACUUGCGUCCUCAUGGAUCCUAGUCAGGUUUGUUAACCCCUGAGCCACAAAGGGAACUCCUUCUUAAAUCUUCUUACUUCGUUUUCUUAAAUACUCCAUGUUGCCUUUCAUAUCUUGUCCAAAGUAUUUUGGCUGUCCACAGUAUCAGUGGUCUUUGUAAUGAGCUGUGACAGAUUCUGAUUGUUGAUUUCCAUAUUUAGUUAUGUCAUACCAGGUCAGAACAGGAUCUCUGCAGGGGUUGCUAUUCUGUUUUACCCAUCCUCCCAUCCCCAUCAACAGACUGUUGUUGUCCCUAAAUUGGGCAAAGGAAAAGAAAAUAAAUGGACUGAAGUAUGUAGGCAGGUACAUACAUGCAUCCUUCUUAAGCUCACAAGGUACCCCUUGGAGUAAGGCCAGCUAUAGACAAAGGGGUAAAGCAGAAAAAAACUGACCAGGAAAGCCCUCCAGAUCUGUUCCCUUCAUCUUCCUCCAGCACGCAGUGCGCCUGCGUUCUGGCCUUAGCCCUCUCGCCUUCUCCUUCCCUCCCUUUGGCUCAUCAACUGACUUGCUCUGUUCCAUCAUUUAUGCCUUAAAGGGAUUUUUAAAUACAUGUGCCAGUUGUUCCAUGAACAUUUUUUUUCCAUGAACAUUUUGUUAAAGUUUUGCUUUAACUGUAGAGUGAAAGCGGUUUUCUCCCAUCUGGGGGGGUGGGGUGGGGGGUGGGCAAGAGGUGCUCCCUAUAGGUACCUUCCCAGGUCCCUGAAAUCCAUCCCAUCCUCAGAAGCUGGCUGACCCUGACUGUGAUGAGUGUGUGUGGGUGCCCCGAGGUGGUCCUGUCCGCCCUAUGAGCACAAAAAAGCUGUCUUUGCAAUCCACCAGACACAAUGAGGACAGUUCUCAGCUUGAAACAACAUCAGUCCAAACGCACUGCAGCUGCGUCAGUGCCACGGCGCCUUUGCUGUCAAGAUAAACAGAAUCUCAUGCUACAAUUAUUGUGACUAGAUGAUGGUGUUUCUCAUGCAGUACCGUGGAAGUGAAAGGACUUCUGGCUUUUUGUUUUUUUCCCCUGACUUCCCAUGUUUGGAAUUCAACAACAAAUUUUUUUCAUUUCUUUCUUUCUUUCUUUCUUUUUUUUUUUGUCUUUUUAGGGUGACACCUGCAGCAUAUGGAGGUUCCUAGGCUAGGGGUCCAGUGGGAGCUGCAGCCACCAGCCUACGCCAGAGCCACAGCAAC
ensembl:lncRNA